UACGGGGGGUGCAAGCGUUGUUCGGAUUUACUGGGCGUAAAGGGCGCGUAGGCGGUCGUGACAAGUCUCUUUUGAAAUCUCCGGGCUUAACUCGGAACGGUCAAGUGAUACUGUCGGACUAGAGUACAGAAGGGGCAACUGGAAUUCUCGGUGUAGCGGUGAAAUGCGUAGAUAUCGAGAGGAACACCUGCGGCGAAGGCGGGUUGCUGGGCUGAUACUGACGCUGAGGCGCGAAAGCCAGGGGAGCGGACGGG
rnacentral:rRNA from 1 species